GAUGAACGCUGACAGAAUGCUUAACACAUGCAAGUCAACUUGAACUUCGGUUUGGGUGGCGGACGGGUGAGUAACGCGUAAAGAACUUGCCUCACAGAUAGGGACAACAUUUGGAAACGAAUGCUAAUACCUGAUAUUAUGAUUUUAGGGCAUCCUAGAAUUAUGAAAGCUAUAUGCGCUGUGAGAGAGCUUUGCGUCCCAUUAGCUAGUUGGAGAGGUAACGGCUCACCAAGGCGAUGAUGGGUAGCCGGCCUGAGAGGGUGAUCGGCCACAAGGGGACUGAGACACGGCCCUUACUCCUACGGGAGGCAGCAGUGGGGAAUAUUGGACAAUGGACCAAGAGUCUGAUCCAGCAAUUCUGUGUGCACGAUGAAGUUUUUCGGAAUGUAAAGUGCUUUCAGUUGGGAAGAAAAAAAUGACGGUACCAACAGAAGAAGUGACGGCUAAAUACGUGCCAGCAGCCGCGGUAAUACGUAUGUCACAAGCGUUAUCCGGAUUUAUUGGGCGUAAAGCGCGUCUAGGUGGUUAUGUAAGUCUGAUGUGAAAAUGCAGGGCUCAACUCUGUAUUGCGUUGGAAACUGUAUAACUAGAGUACUGGAGAGGUAAGCGGAACUACAAGUGUAGAGGUGAAAUUCGUAGAUAUUUGUAGGAAUGCCGAUGGGGAAGCCAGCUUACUGGACAGAUACUGACGCUGAAGCGCGAAAGCGUGGGUAGCAAACAGG
rnacentral:rRNA from 1 species